ensembl:lncRNA
GCUUAUCACAAAAAUAUAGUUUAUUCCAAUUUCAAAUCACUACCCCCCAAAAAAAUAAUUUUAAAACAAUUACUCAUCUUUUCCUAUGAUAGAUAAAAUAAGCCUGACAAAAUUAAAGGGGCCUUUCAUGCUACCCAGAAAGGAGUCCAUACGGCGUUUUCUGGGUUACUGUCUUAACUUAAAGGGAAACUUGCACAACGUCCAGAGCCUUUGAUGUCCCACAAAUGAAGGACGAGGGUAUCCUCAAAUUCUUGGCAAGAGGAACCCACUUAGGCAGCACCAACCUUGAUUUCCAAAUGGAACAGUCAUCUACUAAGGAAAAAGUGGUGGCAUUACCUCAAAUAUCUGAAGAGAACCUGGGAGAAGCUUCUGUUGGCAUCUUGUGCCAUUGUCUCCACUGAAAAUCUGGCUGACAUCAGUGUCACAUCCUCCAGAAUACUGGCCAGUGAGUUGUGCUGAAGUUCACUGCUGCUGUCAUUGGAGCCACUACUACUGUUGGCCACAGCACUCCUGGAAGCUUCCCUGAUGGGAUCCAGGCAGCUCCGGCAGCCGUGUCUUCCGGGAGUCGUGUCUUCCGGGAGUACUGAUCCCACGGCUGACCGCCAGCUUCGCACAGGGGCACCUUAUGUUAACCUGCCCACCAUCUCAGUGUGUAACACAGACACUGCUCAGUGCUACGCGGGUAUUGUCAUCCCGGGCCACAACCGGGGAGCUCGCUCAGUUAGGUGUGAAGUAGGGGUUGCUGGCUAGGGAAGUUCUGCGCAUGCGCAGCUCCAUGUCCCGUGAGCAUUCGGGAGAGGUCAUGCGUGAUCUCCUUCUACAGAGCUCCCGAAGAGAGGAAAAGGAAGAGUAGGCUGCUGCUGAAAAGGCUGCCACCAAGGAGGAAUUCCAGAGUGAAUGGACCCCUCCGGCUCCCAAGUUCACUGCUUCUUAACCUGAGGUCGCAGCCGGGUCAGGUGGCACGUAGGUGCCCUCUGUGUCUAUUCAGCGGUUGCCUCCUGCGGACCGGAUGGAGCCUCAGCCUGUCACUGAGGACUGGUCUGCAGCUCCUACUGCUCGGGCCUUUCUGGAGUAAAUGAACAUUUAGACAUGGCGAAGCAACUGUAUUUGAAGAAAAGAAGAAAAGUGAAGGCAAUACUUGGCAUAAGGAGAGGAAGAAUGAGAAGGAUGUCCAAAGAAGGAGCCAGAAAGGAAAGAGGAGAAGAAAGGCAAGAAAAUCAUGCCAAUAACUCUCCACAAAGGAAACGAUUUCAGAUGAAUACAGACCAAAUCAAUAGUGGGAAGAAUCGAGUCAAGACAGAUGUCAUAACUGUAUUAAAGGUCAAUGAGGUUUAAACAAAUUGGACUCUACUCAUAAAUAAUUGACUCACCAUUUAUACCAAGGUACAGAUAAACCAUGGUGUAGAAAUCAUGCCUCUCUGGAUAGAAUGGAUGUUACUGCUCCUCCAGCCAGAUCGAACCUCCUAUUUCACAGAGAAAAUAAAACCAUCUGUUCGGACAGCCCUCAACUACUGUACCUUGAAACCUAAGAUGUUGUUAAAUCUUCAGCUUUUCAAAAAAAAAAAAAUACUAUUGCUUCCUAUACACAGGAUCCUGAGGAUACAGAGAAGAAUAAGAUAUAUACCCUGUCCUGGAGUAUCUAACAGUUUAUACAGGAAGAAAAAAUGAUAACCUUGGAGUCAAGAAGACCUGUCCCUGUCUCUUGUCAGUUUUAUGGUUUUGAACAGGCUACUUAUCUUCUCUAAUUUUUCUGAUCUGAAAUGAUAGUACUUCCCCCACAGGGCAGCAAAGGACUCUUUUCUGGUGCUUAGCAUGUAUAGGUAGUUGUUAAAUGAGAUCUAUCAACUUGAAUGUAUAUAGGGUUUAUUAGGAAAUAGAAGAAAAAAAUGAAACCUGCAAAGUAGGCAGGAAAAUCUCAAAGGGACUUUGUAUUUUGUAUGUUUGUAUUUUUAGAAAAAUCACCUUGGUUUCAAUGUGGCAGGUAUUUCAUAAGGAGACUAAUAGAAUAAAGAAAGACAGGGCCUGAAUUGUGGCGGGAGCAUUUUUCUGAGAGUGACAAAUGGGACAUGGUGAUGGGCUAUGGAGAAAGAAUGUGUGAUAGUGCCAUUUUCCAAGAAAGGAAGCAGACCUAAAGGGUCAUAGGAAUGAGCUUAAUUUUUGAAAAGUUGUGUUUGAGAUGCCUUCAGAUUCCAAGAUGGGCAUCAGCGGUAUACAAGUGGAUACAUGGCUCUGGACCCCCAAGUUCAGACAAGAGAUGUUAUUAUACAUUGGGCAAGCCUGAAAUAAGCAUUACUCUUCAAGAAAGAACCAAAGGGGGAUUAGUCAUUUGUGGAAAUGAGAAAAUCCAAGAUCGUACUGGUGAAUGUAAACCUGGGGAAUUAUAGAAAUAGCUCAAAUCCAAUUCAGGUCAUCUGGAUAUAAAUGUAAGUCUCCUUGGGGAAGCAAAUAGGGAUUUUGAUUGCAAGUGAG